rnacentral:rRNA from 1 species
GACGAACGCUGGCGGCGUGCCUAAUACAUGCAAGUAGAACGCACAGUUUAUACCGUAGCUUGCUACACCAUAGACUGUGAGUUGCGAACGGGUGAGUAACGCGUAGGUAACCUGCCUGGUAGCGGGGGAUAACUAUUGGAAACGAUAGCUAAUACCGCAUAAUAUUGAUUAUUGCAUGAUAAUUAAUUGAAAGGUGCAAUUGCACCACUACCAGAUGGACCUGCGUUGUAUUAGCUAGUAGGUGAGGUAACGGCUCACCUAGGCGACGAUACAUAGCCGACCUGAGAGGGUGAGCGGCCACACUGGGACUGAGACACGGCCCAGACUCCUACGGGAGGCAGCAGUAGGGAAUCUUCGGCAAUGGACGAAAGUCUGACCGAGCAACGCCGCGUGAGUGAAGAAGGUUUUCGGAUCGUAAAGCUCUGUUGUAAGAGAAGAACGGGUAUGAGAGUGGAAAGUUCACACUGUGACGGUAUCUUACCAGAAAGGGACGGCUAACUACGUG